GCAAGUCGAACGAUGAAGCCUAGCUUGCUUGGUGGAUUAGUGGCGAACGGGUGAGUAAUAUAUAGAUGACGUGCCUCCGAGACCGGGAUAGCCAGUGGAAACGAUGAUUAAUACUGGAUACUCCUUCUGAUUCUAAUAUCAGUCGGGAAAGUUUUUCGCUCGGAGAUCGGUCUAUAUCCUAUCAGUUAGUUGGUGAGGUAAUGGCUCACCAAGGCAAUGACAGGUAGCGGGUUUGAGAGGAUGAUC
rnacentral:rRNA from 1 species